CAGGACGAACGCUGGCGGCGUGCUUAACACAUGCAAGUCGAACGGUGACCCAGGGCUUGCCCUGGUGAUCAGUGGCGAACGGGUGAGUAACACGUGGGCAACCUGCCCCUGACUUCGGGAUAACUCCUCGAAAGAGGAGCUAAUACCGGAUACGACCACUUCGGACAUCCGAUGGUGGUGGAAAGUUCUUCGGUCAGGGAUGGGCCCGCGGCCUAUCAGCUAGUUGGUGGGGUAAUGGCCUACCAAGGCGACGACGGGUAGCCGGCCUGAGAGGGCGACCGGCCACACUGGGACUGAGACACGGCCCAGACUCCUACGGGAGGCAGCAGUGGGGAAUAUUGCGCAAUGGGCGAAAGCCUGACGCAGCGACGCCGCGUGAGGGAUGAAGGCCUUCGGGUUGUAAACCUCUUUCAGCAGGGACGAAGCGAAAGUGACGGUACCUGCAGAAGAAGCACCGGCUAACUACGUG
rnacentral:rRNA from 1 species